CCCCUUAUUUGCCUUUUUUUCCUUUCCUAAACAGGUAGAAGUACACAUUAUGGGUUGCAGUAUCUAGAAAAAGGCUCUCUGGAGAGUCCUUGCAGGAUAACUUAAAACUUUGAAGAAUACAGUGGACUCCAAUGUCUGUUCUUCAGCUUUGCAAGUCCAAGAAUUCAGUCUUGUCUGAGCUUCAGAAAUGGUGAUUGAUUCAAGCAUUGAUCAUGUUUUCCUAACACUUGAGUUGUCUGAGUGUUGAGAGGAGGCCAUCUGGACAGAAGCUUAUUGUCUCAACACUUUGGGGGUCAUGAAGACAAUUUUUCCUGAGAGGGGCCCAGUGUGUAUUUUAAGGUGCUACGGCUCCAGGAAGUUCUUUUUGCUUUGAUUGAGUACUUUGAUCAGUUGGAGAUUGAAACACUGGGAUUCAGAGUCAAAGUAGAGCUACACUGCAAAAGUCAGGGUAUUCUACUCCUCAACUUCAUGGGGUGCCAUUAACA
rnacentral:lncRNA from 1 species